UGGUCGAUGGCGUAGUUGGUUAUCGUUUCUGUCUGACAUUGCAUUGGAUUCUAUGAUAUAAACAGAAGGUCCUCAGUUCAAAUCUGGGUUGACUCA